GACGUAGGGGGCCAGCGUUGCUCGGAAUUACUGGGCGUAAAGGGUUCGUAGGCGGUGUGGCAAGUCGGGAGUGAAAUCUCCGGGCUCAACCCAGGGGCUGCUUCCGAAACUGCCGUGCUAGAGUGUGGGAGAGGCGCGUGGAAUUGCAGGUGUAGCGGUGAAAUGCGUAGAUAUCUGCAGGAACACCCGUGGCGAAAGCGGCGCGCUGGACCACUACUGACGCUGAGGAACGAAAGCUAGGGGAGCAAACAGG
rnacentral:rRNA from 1 species